rnacentral:tRNA from 1 species
AGGAUAAUAGCUCAGUGGUAGAGCAUGUGCCUAGCAUGCACAAGGUCAAGGUCAUGGGUUCUAUACCCAUAAUUUCUA